CUUGAAAGGACUGACUAGGACUGAGAGGGCCCCUGAAGUUUGGCUACUUCUCUGAAAGAAAUGGUGAACCUUUUGUGUGAACAACAGCAGAAAAUAUUGGUCAAGGAAAAGCCUAGAGGGUCAAGACUUUAUUGCUGUACUGUGGGGAUGGUCCUGUGCUGAGUUGGUGAAAUCAAAUAUGAUCGUGAUGGCUGCUUCUUUGGAGAAAACCAUCUGGGUGCCUAUUAGAACAAAGAAUUAGACAUGGUCUCUAGUCAAAUGAAUCUAGAAUGGAAAGUUACAGAGGUCACCAUGUAGAUCACCUGAGCUUGUCCCUCAGUGUCCAGAUCCCACUAUGCAAUCAUUUGUCUCAGAGCUGCAGAUCUUUUAAUAUUCUCACAUA